rnacentral:rRNA from 1 species
GCGCUAUCGGAUGAGCCUAGGUCGGAUUAGCUAGUUGGUGGGGUAAGGGCCUACCAAGGCGACGAUCCGUAACUGGUCUGAGAGGAUGAUCAGUCACACCGGGACUGAGACACGGCCCGG